rnacentral:rRNA from 1 species
UACGGAGGGUGCAAGCGUUGUCCGGAAUUACUGGGCGUAAAGAGCUUGUAGGUGGUUUGUCGCGUUGUUCGUGAAAUCUCACGGCUUAACUGUGAGCGUGCGGGCGAUACGGGCAGACUAGAGUACUGCAGGGGAGACUGGAAUUCCUGGUGUAGCGGUGGAAUGCGCAGAUAUCAGGAGGAACACCGGUGGCGAAGGCGGGUCUCUGGGCAGUAACUGACGCUGAGAAGCGAAAGCGUGGGGAGCGAACAGG